CCUUUUUAAGCCCAUAACUAUAAAGCCUUUAUUUGUCCAUUAAGCAAAUAUAUAUAUAUAUAUAUCUUCUCAAACCAAACCCUAGUCUGGUCUUCCUUCUUCCCUGCCAAAAAAUCAGUAGCUGCUGCCGCCAUGGUUCUCAAGACUGAACUCUGCCGCUUCAGUGGGGCGAAGAUCUAUCCUGGCAAGGGUAUCAGAUUUAUUCGCUCAGAUUCCCAGGUCUUCCUCUUUGCCAAUUCUAAAUGCAAGAGGUACUUCCACAACAGGCUGAAGCCCUCAAAGCUAACCUGGACAGCUAUGUACAGGAAGCAGCAUAAAAAGGACAUUGCUGCAGAAACUAUUAAGAAGAGGCGUCGCGCCACGAAAAAACCUUACUCAAGGUCCAUUGUAGGGGCUACUUUGGAGGUCAUACAGAAGAAGCGAACUGAGAAACCUGAAGUUCGUGAUGCUGCAAGGGAGGCUGCACUCCGUGAAAUUAAGGAGAGGAUUAAGAAAACAAAGGAUGAGAAGAGAGCCAAGAAGGCUGAGGUAACAGCCAAGGUACAAAAGAGCAGCAAAGGUAGCGUGCCAAAGGGUGCUGCACCAAAGGGCCCCAAGCUUGGCGGGGGUGGAGGAAAGCGGUGAAAUCCUUCCUUCUUUGUUGUCCUAUUAACUCGUUAAAGAAUUUUGUAUUGGAUAUUUUACAUGGAUCAAGGUCUAUUGUUGCCAUUUUGUUCUUUUAGAGUUAACCUACUCUUUUCUCUUUCAGCGUUAAUUAGCCAUGGUUUGAAAGUUGUUGAAUUUUA